CUGAGUUUUGUUGCUUUUACACUGUUCUGACCACUAGGGGUCACCAUGGAGACAGGUGUCAGAUUGUUUCGAAGCCUCGAAUCAUUACGGCACAUUUGCUUCAACUGCUUCAGUGUUUCACAAAGCCUCGAUCUCCCCAUCACUACCCAUGAAAGUGCACUGGAAUGGCAGUCUAAAGUUUACACUACAUGCUUCUGCGGCGCAUUUCUCCAUUAAAGGGAUAGUUCACCCAAAAAAGAAAAUUUGAUGUUUAACUGCUUACCCCCAGGGCAUCCAAGAUGUAGGUGACUUUUUUCCCAGUAGAACACAAAUGAUGAUUUUGAACUCCAACCGUUGCGGUCUGUCAGUCAUAAGAGAGAGUAUAGGGAGGCUACUGUGUCAAAAUGAUUGAUGACACCUGUCAUAAUAAAUCAUAUUUAUUGUGUCCGGUAUGAAUAUUCCUAUGGGGGUUGGUUUUGCAGAAUGAUUGAUAUUGAACUGUCAGGUUGUAUUUAUAUAGUUGUUAUUUGAACUCUCUCUAACCCGACUGAUCUGUUGACCACAUGUGUGAAAAAUGAAUAAAUUAUAAUCAGGAUGAUCAUAAUAUGACAAACAAUAACCAUCAUUAUUAGUGUAGAGCUAGACAGCCACUCUCUGUCUGUCACACACACACACACACACACACACACACACACACACACACACACACACACACACAGACACAAGCAGCUACCCCACCCCAUGCACAAGCAGUCUCAGAUUUCACACCUCUGGUUGUAAGAGGAGAAACAGAGAGAGAAAGUAAAAUCAAUGAUCUAUCCAUAUUCUAUCCAGGGGCGUAGUUUGCGGGGGGAUGGGGGGGAGGUAACCCCCCCAAUAUUCAAAUCCAUCAGUUACAACCCCCAAUAUUGCAACAUGAAAAUCACAGUAGAUCUAUACUAACAUAUAUGUAUAAUUCAUUUAUUUUGUAACAAUAAUUUGUGUCUAAUCGAAUAUGAGUUUGUCAUAAUUAAAUAGUCAAAAAAGUACCUCCCUUCCAUUGAACCGAUUGGUAACGCCCAACCAAUGAGCGUCGCACUUUCACCAAAACAACGCGAGUGGAGCUCUAAUGUUUGAAUGGAGAGCAUGGUUAGCACCAAAAAAUGAAGAGAACCGUUGCCCAGCCGACUAUAUUAAACUUCUGUUCAAAGAGGGACGUUAAAAAGAAUAAAGCAUGUACUGAGAAGGAGGUAUGAAAACAUUGUAAUAGCUAGGUACACUCCACAUAUAUUUUAGCUAGCUAAUCCAUUGCAAUUUAGCCAUAACUAUCAGUGUAACUGUAACCAGUUACCAAAAACAGCCGUCUGUUUUGUUACUUCAUUUUUCAAUAGUGUCUUAUCAAUGACAAAAGUAUUCACAUCGGUGUUUGUUUUCUUCCUUAAUUAAUCUGACUUUUGAACGAAUUGGCUUGAAUGAACGAUUUAAGUAGCUCACUCAUUAAACCGUCGAAUCGCUGCCACCUACUGGUGGUUUCAAUAUUUAACAUAAUUUCUUUCUUUUUUAGAAUUACUCCGUUAUAUUAGAAUUUGAUGAAUGGUUAUAGAUAAAUUCCAUAAAGUUAUGAUAGAUAGAUAGAUAGAUAGAUAGAUAGAUAGAUAGAUAAAGAAGAAAUAAAUUAUCCAAUAACGCUACACAUAAAACAGAUUUUUUUUAUUAAAAAAAAAAAAAUAACAGGCAGCAUACCAACGCUCAACCCCCCCAAUGUUGAAACCAAAUCUACGCCCUUGAUUCUAUCCACAUAUUUUCACGCGCAAAAGAUAAAAUCACCCCCCUUGGGAAAAAUGUCAUAAAUGAAGCCGUGUCUUUUUGUCAACCUAUAUGUUCACACAUUUUGAUCUCCGAAACAGAUGCUGCGCUCUGUCACACGCGAGCGGAACUCGGACGACAUCUAGCGGUCACAGAGAAAACAAAUGUCAAUUAAAACUCUCAAUGUUAAACAAUGUUGAACAAACUCUCAAUGUUAAACAUUACGAAUUAUUUCACAUUUAAACAUUUUUUCUUUCACAAUUGAUAUUUUUCAUAUCACGUAUAUUUCUUAUCUUUAAAUACCACUAAAACUGUGGUAUAAAACCAUAGAUUACAUAAAUGAGAACGGAUAUUAUAUAAUCAUCCAUCAAUUCGUUUGUUCAGAUAACACACACAUUAAGAAAAUCUCAGAGGGGCAGAGAGAAAAACAUUCAUGGUUAUUUACCUUAGAAUAUCAGAUUUCCGCGACAUUCCGUUUCUGAACAGUUUUAAAAAAUAAAUUAUCCUUGAAACAACAAAAUUGUCACUGCUUUUCUCCGGUCGUAAAAUAUCAAGUCAAGUUUUGUCAAUAUAGUGUUUUCAGUAGGAAAAAACACAUGUUUUUCACACGCAAAAGAUAAAAUUACUCCCUUGGGAAAAAUGUCAUAAAUGAAGCCGUGUCUUUUUGACAAGCGUAUGUACCAUAGACUGUAAAAAAUGGUAUGUACUCAUACAAAAACACACCCAAAACAGAUGGUGUGCUCUGUCACGCACGUGGAACUCGGAGGACAUCUAGCGGUCACUGUUUGAAAUUGUAUCAUGUGAAAAUGAAUAAACAAACAAAAAAAAGGUUAAUUCGGUUAACAAAUGUGAAAAAACAAAUAUAUUAAUAAAACAACUCAUUUUAAACAUUGCGAGUGCAAAGGUAUUUUUACACUUAAACAUUCCUAGUUAAUCUUAUGGUCUUAUAGUUAAUCAAUCCUUUCACAAAAUGACUGAAUCAAAUGAUAUUUCUUCUCUUUAAACGGAUGAAAAUUAAGAAAUAAUAUAUGAAUAAGAAAAUAAUUUUAUUUAAAAAGAAUAUAUUCAUCUAUUUUAAAUCGUAUACUCAACUGAAUAAUAUUCAUAAUGAAUAAUCUAAAAAUAAUGUGAAAUAAAUGAUCAUACUUUAUAUUUUAACCCCUCCUCGGUUCAAAGUAUAUUUUUUAUCACAAGGAAUGUUUUUUACUUUAAAAUGUGUGUUUAUUAGAAUUAUUAUUCUAAUAAAUGUAAGUAGAAAUUUGAGAAUCAUCAGAGGGCGGGGUGAAAAAAUUCUACCAGAUAAAAACGCCACGAGAGGGUCCUCUCAUCACACUUUUUUUUCCCGACUUCUCGAAAACUGAUUUUUCCAGGCUUUUUUACAAUGACUCAGAAACAACGUGAGUUUAACUCUAUCUUUUAAAAAAUACUUGUCUAGGUUUUGCUAUCCAUUUUGAAUGUCUUGUUCACCAUAUCUCUUGUAUAAUUAUGUUGUAGACAAUGUUUUAUAGAUUUUUUAAUUAUAAUAAUGUUAUAUUAACUAAUUAAGCAUAUUAUUAUUUUUUAGAAAGUAUUUUUCACAUAACAAGCUUUACGUUUUAGUCACAAAUGCAUUGGAAUUGAUUGCAUUCCAGGAACUGGAUCGAAUCACCGCUGAUCAACUCAGAAUCCGGAAUUCGGAUGAUAAUCCUUCUCAAGACAUCCAACAGUUUAUAACUCAGCCCGGUUUUGUCGAUUUAACGCAGUCUUCCGAAUUGACGGAAGAAGAAGAGGAAUCGUCAACUGAACAGGAUGCAACGCCAAGUUCCACCACCAGGGAUCGCUAUGAUGAUUCUGAACUUCCGUCAGGACAACAUGUGAAUCCGGUGUUAUGAAAUAUUCGGUGUCUGCGAUUUUCGGUGACACUGGGCGGAGCUUACAUUAAUAUUUACGAGUUUCCUGUUUUGAGUUAAAGCGCCACUGAAAAUGUUAGUGGACUGCCCUUGGAUCACAGAACUGUUUUCUGUAACGUGAUUGUGUUUCUGCGUCGAAUGAAUUUAUGAUUCUUUUUUAUUAAUAACUGUUUAUGUAUGCUUAAUAGUUUGUAGGUUACAUUGUGUCGUGAGAUAUACUUUAGUAGUGAUUACAGCCACUGGUGGUCUAUCGUUAGGAAAUGAGGCAACAUCGAGUUUGUUUGUUUUAGUAGGCUACAACUGUUUUGAUUUUAUUUUAGUUCGUUUGAGAA